rnacentral:lncRNA from 1 species
GAUCGUUUCAGCUCUUAGUUGCAUGUUUAAGGGGCCCAAGGCAUGAAUUUUACACUAAGUGUAGGGGACUUAGUAAUUUUCAAGAUCCUUAGAUUUCAAGGAAUUUAUUUUUGGUUUUCCCAAAUCCAAAACAUUGAUUUUUGAGUUGAAACAUGUUUAAGGAUAUUAAAGGGGUGUCCCAGAAGAGUUUUGGAAUUUUUGGAAAAGUAUUGGGGAGAUUUUGGACCUCGGAGGCAGCAAGCCUCUA